UGCUUUCUAUGUGAUGUAUGAUUCACAUUGGGGGAUAUACCAUAGACUUUUCUGAUCUGGAAAUGUUUUCUGUCUCUCCUUUGCCUUCAUAUGCGCACAUGUAAAUCCCUACAAUGGCAGGGAGGUAAGGAAACAGCCCACUAUUUCCUUGCAGUUGUCAGAUAUCCAUCUUAUUACCCUAAACUUCUCCUUCUAGUUAGUUGAAUCAAAAUAUAUGUUGUCCAUCACUGGCAUCCAGAAGAAAACACAGAACCCUCCAAAGCCUAUUACUAAAGUAAUACCACUAAAGAUAGAAAUGCUGUCUUCUUUAUUUUAACUGUGUGAGCAAUACUUAUUUACCUGGUCAUAGCUGCAAAUACCUGAAAAAACUUCUAUGCAUUCCUCAUCUUGGAGUGUCAGAGCAGAGCUGCUGGACAGCACUCAUUUUUAUCCUCUUCUCUAUGACUUUUGAACUUAGGAUCCAAGCCUUUCUGGAACCAACCAAAUGCAUAUGGGCUGUAAACCUUGGAAUCAAAAGUCACGCACUGGCUUAUGGGAGAAGCACAAGGUCCCAUGUUUCUGAGAUCUGAUGAGAAGAAAGGAAUAAUUUGGGCCUUUGAGACCAUGUCCCUUACCCCCCGCCAAAGUGUCAAGACUCACAUCUUUAAUUCAACAAUCUUUGUAUUAAUUACCUCUGGAUAAGAGAUGGGAGGAUUGAAACUGAAGAGGACUUGAACAAGACUGGCUGUAGGGCUUGGAAAGCUGCAGGCAAUGUGGAAAGCAUAAACACAACUUGUGUCCCUGACUCCUCCCAGAAGAUGACUGGCCAUCCUUCACCUUAUUGUAACGGAGAUACUCAGUUGUGUUUGGAGGCUUGGACCUGUGUGCUCAAGAGACAGUGUACUUUGUGUGUGGGUAACAGGGCUGACUCCAGCAUGCUGCCUGUGCAUAUACCUCCAUUGCAAUGAAGUGCUUUGGGACAUUGCAUUGGUGAAUGUUAAUAGGGUUUUUCAGCCUUUAGGCUUAGUUCUCACCUCAGAGUUGCCAGUGUAACUUCUCCAGAUCAGUGAGGCGAGCCAUGAGCUUUGUGUCCCUUUAAGAGCUAACACACAUAUCAUCUGAGGGAAGCAAAAGCUGUUAGAUAAAAUAUUAGCUGUGAUGUUUCAAAGCUUGACCUCUGAAGAUGGUAGGGUCCAAAGAUUUGGCAUAUUACAUUUUCAGAGCUGACACCUUGAUGGUUUCACUGGACUUUGGCAGAAAGACACACCUGAUGGCUCUUCAAAAGAUUUCUGCAUGUACAAAAGAUCUAAUGAUAUAGGCCCAUUUUUUUGUUCCUACCUGACAGUGUUUUUCACCUUGUCUACCAUUCUGGGACCCUUUGCUUAAUGCAGAGCUGUCCCAUUUGCCCAGUUAUCUCAGAAGGUGUGUCAGUGGUAACGGGGUGCUGGAAGCUUCAGUUUUGCCAUCAGAGCUAUUAACUGUGUCAUUAGAUCAGAUUAAAGCCUGUGUUUUUGAAAUGGUAUGUGUAGUCGCCACUGCUUGGCCCCCUAAUUUACAUUGAAAUCAGCUGAAAUGAAAGAUAACCAGGAGAAAAGAGGCCAGUCCUUUUAUUUUAUCAGAAAGUCUAAAAAUGUUGACACAGCAAGACACAGAGCACCUAUUCAAUCCUCCCCCGCUCUAGAUGGUGAAAGGUACCAACAACACCUUGAAACCACUGUGGGAGCUUGACCCAAGAGCUGCUUGCAUACUGCUGUGGCUCAUUGUGCUAGGCCACAGAGAUUUUCAUCCUACUACGUUUCCUCAUCCCCUAGAGGCAGACUUGUCAAGAAGCCUUUUGUCUGGCACAGUGUUUUCAAAUCCAAACUCUGAUAAUUAUCUGUGGUUCUGCUGCCGACUUGAAAGGCAAUUGCUAGGCAUUGAAUCCCCAUUCCCUUCAGUACAAAAAUUAAGAGUAAGGAGAAGAAGCAUUUCUGUGCCUGCUUCUCUCUCCAGCACUUGACACCAAAUGCACAUGUGAGGCUGACCGUCAAAGAUAAAUGAGUUCAAUAGAAAAGAGCAGGCGCAUACUUGGAUCUCCAUGUAAUACAGUACAAAUCAGUAGAAAGUGCAACACAAAGGCUUUGCAUGGCAGACUCUGCUAAUCAGAAGAGGUGAGUGUUUUAGCAUAUUUAAACGAGGUGAGGGCAUCCACUAAUCAAACAACAGAAUCCAGAGGUACUGAAAGAGCAAGGGAAAGGCUGUUGCUUAAAACUUUUCCACACGGAUGUCGUAUUUUUGAAAUAUCAUUAAAUGUGAUGAUCUAGGUUUAUAGAAAGAUAAUGAGCUAAGUAACAAAUAUGUCAAAACUAAACUAUUAAACACUGUAAUUAUGCUGGAUACAGAUUAGUUGCUGAAAAAGUUUCCCAUUAUUGCACUCUAACUGUCAGGAAAGUGCAGUAAAAUAAUGGGUUUUCUUUUCAUUUGAUUGAUUUAGCAUAAGGUACUAUGUGGUAACUUUUUAACAGCCUUCAUGGGAUGCAAUAAAAAUUGCAUCGGAAGCCUACAUCUUCUCCAAUAUAAAUUGGUGUGAAGUAUACAUAAGUGAUAAAAACUCAUUUUUCAUGCACAAGACUUUAAAAGCUUUCACACUAAGUACGCUAUUUAAAAAAUAUUACAUUUAUAGUUUCUCUUACAGUCUUCUACCUUUCUCUACUGUUUUUCAAAUCAAGGCCAGGUUGCCAUCACCUUCACUGACACUUGUCCUCUGCAGUAGCAAUAUUUUUUGUUAAUCAAUCAGGAAAGAGAAUUAGUUUUACAUCAACAUUUUAAAGAGAUAUUCUCUUAAAACCUCCCAGGAAAAAAAUCACCUUUUACUGAGAAUUAUACAAUGUGUACGAGCUUCCUAGGCCAAUAGAUCAUUGCCAUAUGAGUAUAACAAAGGUUAGUUAGCAGUCAUGGAUUUUCUUUGGGAAUAUUGCCUUCACAGAAGCAGAUCUCAAAGGAGAUGAGCUUAUUUUAAGCUGAUAUUCAUUAGAAAGCUGCUAAACCACUAGAGACAUUCUGGAUACAAAAUAGGAUAUCUGGCUUGUGUUUUCUUUUGUAGGUAAUAAGAGACAAUAUCUAUGAUC
ensembl:lncRNA